UACGUAGGGUGCAAGCGUUAAUCGGAAUUACUGGGCGUAAAGCGUGCGCAGGCGGCUUUGCAAGACAGAUGUGAAAUCCCCGGGCUUAACCUGGGAACUGCAUUUGUGACUGCAUGGCUGGAGUGCGGCAGAGGGGAUGGAAUUCCGCGUGUAGCAGUGAAAUGCGUAGAUAUGCGGAGGAACACCGAUGGCGAAGGCAAUCCCCUGGCCUGCACUGACGCUCAUGCACGAAGCGUGGGAGCAACAGG
rnacentral:rRNA from 1 species